rnacentral:rRNA from 1 species
AUAGCGUAUAUUAAAGUUGUUGCAGUUAAAAAGCUCGUAGUUGAAUUUCAGGGCGGGUCGGGCGGUCCACCGGAAACGGUGUGUACUGCUAUUCGGCCUGCCCUUUCCUCCUGGGGAACUGGUGUGCUCUUCACUGAGUGUGCCAGCGCUUCCAGGACUUUUACUUUGAAAAAAUUAGAGUGUUCAAAGCAGGCUCACCGCCUGUAUACAUUAGCAUGGAAUAAUAGAAUAGGACAGUGGUCCUAAUUUUGUUGGCUUUCAGGACCGCAGUAAUGAUGAAUAGGAACAGUUGGGGGCAUUUGUAUUGGGGAGCUAGAGGUGAAAUUCUGGGAUUUCCCCAAGACAAACUUUUG